AUUGAACGCUGGCGGCAGGCUUAACACAUGCAAGUCGAGCGGGGUGAUGGUGCUUGCACUAUCACUUAGCGGCGGACGGGUGAGUAAUGCUUAGGAAUCUGCCUAUUAGUGGGGGACAACAUCUCGAAAGGGAUGCUAAUACCGCAUACGUCCUACGGGAGAAAGCAGGGGAUCACUUGUGACCUUGCGCUAAUAGAUGAGCCUAAGUCGGAUUAGCUAGUUGGUGGGGUAAAGGCCUACCAAGGCGACGAUCUGUAGCGGGUCUGAGAGGAUGAUCAGCCACACUGGGACUGGGACACGGCCCAGACUCCUACGGGAGGCAGCAGUGGGGAAUAUUGGACAAUGGGGGGAACCCUGAUCCAGCCAUGCCGCGUGUGUGAAGAAGGCCUUAUGAUUGUAAAGCACUUUAAGCGAGGAGGAGGCUCUUUUGGUUAAUACCCAAGAUGAGUGGACGUUACUCGCAGAAUAAGCACCGGCUAACUCUGUGCCAGCCGCCGCGGUAA
rnacentral:rRNA from 1 species